UACGGGGGGGGCAAGCGUUAUUCGGAAUUACUGGGCGUAAAGGGCUCGUAGGCGGCCAACUAAGUCGGAUGUGAAAUCCCCAGGCUCAACUUGGGAACUGCAUCCGAUACUGGAUGGCUUGAAUUCGGGAGAGGGAUGCAGAAUUCCAGGUGUAGCGGUGAAAUGCGUAGAUAUCUGGAGGAAUACCGGUGGCGAAGGCGGCAUCCUGGACCGACAUUGACGCUGAUGAGCGAAAGCUAGGGGAGCAAACGGG
rnacentral:rRNA from 1 species